UUUCCGUAGGUGAACCUGCGGAAGGAUCAUUAAAGAUAUAGUCCCCUGGCCCUCUGGGCUGGGGUCUUCUAUACCACCCUUUGUUUAUUACACCUUUGUUGCUUUGGCAGGCCUGCCCUCGGGCUGCUGGCUCCGGCCGGCUCGCGUCUGCCAGAGGACCUAAACUCUGUUUGUAUAUGAAGUCUGAGUACUAUAUAAUAGUUAAAACUUUCAACAACGGAUCUCUUGGUUCUG
rnacentral:misc_RNA from 1 species